ensembl:lncRNA
UAUAUAUAGUGUGGGGCUAAGAUGGGCAGAUGGACAACCAUGAUCCUAUUACCUCUGUAUUCACUGUACUACAGUACCAACGCCAUACGGACAACAGUGUCAUCACAUAUAGAGUUGUCAUAACAGAGACCAGGAAAAGAGGUGGACACUUGGGCUAGUAUUUUAUUUGGAUCCCCAUUAGCUGCUGCCAAGGCUGCUAGCCUUGGGUCCACACAGGCUAGCAGACAAGACUCUGAGGCGAGUGAUGUGCGGUGCGAGUGGUGUGUGUGUUUAGCGAGAGCGUGAGCCAACGAGUGAGAGCAGUGUGUGUGGAGUGAGCGAGUGCAGAGCGAGCCACUCACACGGAGCAUGCCUCUGCGUCCUGCAGCCGGCAAACAUGAGCCACCCAGCUCUCCACAGCAGGACCAGCACACACACUCACACCCCUACACACACACCAACGGCAGCCAGGGGGCCAGCUCUGACAGCGGCAGCUCACGGGAAGAGGACAGCGGCAUUCCCGUUUCUGUCAGUGUUUUCUCUUUCCGUCCCACUCGGGAGCGGAGCCCCAGUGCAGGAGGAGGCAUGGCGCAGGACAAGGGCAACACGUUGGUGAUCCGCAUUGGAAUACCGGACCUGGCACAGACGAUUCUGGAGACCAGGGGAUGUUGUCGACCUUCCAUCCUGCCAACUCCCCUGUGGCAAUGGCAUAGACUAAGAUAUUCAUGGAGCUAGAGGGGGUUGAAGGAGUGUUAAGUAGAAUAAGGACUGUGCAGUAGAAUGUAGGCUUACUUUAUGUUUCCC